rnacentral:rRNA from 1 species
GAUGAACGCUGGCGGCGUGCCUAAUACAUGCAAGUCGAGCGAACAGAUGAGGAGCUUGCUCCUCUGACGUUAGCGGCGGACGGGUGAGUAACACGUGGAUAACCUACCUAUAAGACUGGGAUAACUUCGGGAAACCGGAGCUAAUACCGGAUAAUAUAUUGAACCGCAUGGUUCAAUAGUGAAAGACGGUUUUGCUGUCACUUAUAGAUGGAUCCGCGCCGCAUUAGCUAGUUGGUAAGGUAACGGCUUACCAAGGCAACGAUGCGUAGCCGACCUGAGAGGGGGAUCGGCCACACUGGAACUGAGACACGGUCCAGACGCCUACGGGAGGCAGCAGUAGGGAAUCUUCCGCAAUGGGCGAGAGCUUGACGGAGCAACGCCGCGUGAGUGAUGAAGGUCUUCGGAUCGUAAAACUCUGUUAUUAGGGAAGAACAAAUGUGUAAGUAACUAUGCACAUCUUGACGGUACCUAAUCAGAAAGCCACGGCUAACUACGUG